UGCGGCAGCACGGUCACACAGAGCAUAUGCUGCCUAUGACAGGCGUGCAGGGCUGUGCUUUUCCACACGUGCUCCCAAGGUCUCCCGAUUGGUGUGCUCAGCAGAAGGGGCCGGUCCUUGAAGUCAGCUCCUGUGCCUAUGACAGAUGAUAUUUUCAUGCAAGAAAACAAAACCAGACUAUCUGAUGGACUGCAUUAUUUUUCCAGGCGGCUUGGAACUGCAACUGCAAAGAACAGAGAGUAUUCAGAUGAAUGGUAUAAGAAUCCAGGCAUUAAUAAUGAUUAUUUGAUCAUGGUUUUGGAAUAAUAAGAAGAUAUUUCCUGUCUAUGUAUGUGGAGUGAUGUUUCUAAAGAAAACCAAAAAUGGAGUCAUUUGGAGAUGUUUCUAAAGAAAACCAAAAAUGGAGUAAUUUUGAUCUCUGAUGGGUGAAACUCACUGGAAUGGAAACCAACAUCUAUGCAGCAAACCAAGGCUCGCCAUGUUUUACAUCUGCCAAGUGCCUGGGGACUCCAAAGGAAGCAAAGUAUGAAGAAUAUCAAAGAAACAUAGAAGAACAGAAAAGUCAAUCUGAAUUUCAGGAUGUUUUACUGGAACCUGAGAUGAGUUUGCUGUCUGUGUCAUCCAUAUUAGACCACAAUGAGACAUCUUUGCAACCUGGUGGGACUACAAGGUGUGUUAGUGCCACCAAUCAAUCUGAAGCAGAGCAGCUCUGUGAAGAAUUACUGUGUUCUGCAAGGCACAAGUCAAAGGAAGAAGCUUUAAACUUUACUUCACACACAGAAUGGCCACUCCUUGCAGGAGAAAAUCCAUUCCAGAAACCAGAAAGGAGUCAUGAGAUCAGAGUCAUAAGACACAAGCCAAGUGCUAUCACAUUUUCUGAUUUUGAAUUUUUAUCACAUGAAGCUAAUACUAAACUCCAUAUUUCUGAGGCAGGAGAAGAUGACUUUUCAUAUGAAGAGGAAGAAGCAGAUGGCAGAGGUGAUGAUGAUCUGUUUGCAGAACUGCCACUGUAUGAUGCAUUUUUCAAUGGCCUUCACAGAACGGAUGUUUGCCCAAGAAAGCAAGCUAAAUGUGAACUUACUGAGUAUCCACACAUCUGUCAUUUAGAAGACUGUGAUGAUAAUUCCAAAAUGGAAUUGAAGGACCAUGACAAGGAGGAAAAACACACGGAGCUGGAGACGCAAUCAGAAGAAAGAUCGGAAUGGUCAGACUCUAUGUCAUGUCUUAUGAAGAAACUGGAACAGCUGAAUUUAGAUAUUGAAGAAGCUCUGAGUGCUAGCUCGUCUCCCUCCAGUACUCCUUCUACCACAAGGAACAGACAACUGGUAAGAAUGUGUGUCAUACGACACAUUUUCUAACAUUAGCUAUCAGAUGUUGGUCAAAUA
rnacentral:lncRNA from 1 species